CCCUACGGGGGUCCGCAGUUGGGAAUAUUUCACAAUUUUUUUCCCCCUGAUGCAGCGACGCCGCGUGAGUGAAGAAGUAUUUCGGUAUGUAAAGCUCUAUCAGCAGGGAAGAAAAUGACGGUACCUGACUAAGAAGCCCCGGCUAACUACGUGCCAGCAGCCGCGGUAAUACGUAGGGGGCAAGCGUUAUCCGGAUUUACUGGGUGUAAAGGGAGCGUAGACGGUUAUGCAAGUCUGAAGUGAAAGCCCAAGGCUCAACCAUGGGACUGCUUUGGAAACUGUAAAACUGGAGUGCAGGAGAGGUA
rnacentral:rRNA from 1 species